GACGAACGCUGGCGGCGUGCCUAAUACAUGCAAGUAGAACGCUGAAGAGAGGAGCUUGCUCUUCUUGGAUGAGUUGCGAACGGGUGAGUAACGCGUAGGUAACCUGCCUUGUAGCGGGGGAUAACUAUUGGAAACGAUAGCUAAUACCGCAUAACAAUGGAUGACACAUGUCAUUUAUUUGAAAGGGGCAAUUGCUCCACUACAAGAUGGACCUGCGUUGUAUUAGCUAGUAGGUGAGGUAAUGGCUCACCUAGGCGACGAUACAUAGCCGACCUGAGAGGGUGGACGGCCACACUGGGACUGGGACACGGCCCAGACUCCUACGGGGGGCAGCAGUAGGGAAUCUUCGGCAAUGGGGGCAACCCUGACCGAGCAACGCCGCGUGAGGGAAGAAAGGUUUCGGAUCGUAAAGCUCUGUUGUAAGUCAAGAACGGGUGUGAGAGUGGAAAGUUCACACUGUGACGGUAGCUUACCAGAAAGGGACGGCUAACUACGUG
rnacentral:rRNA from 1 species